rnacentral:rRNA from 1 species
AUUGAACGCUGGCGGCAUGCCUUACUCAUGCAAGUCGAACGGCAGCACGGGUGCUUGCACCUGGUGGCGAGUGGCGAACGGGUGAGUAAUACAUCGGAACGUGCCCAGUCGUGGGGGAUAACUGCUCGAAAGAGCAGCUAAUACCGCAUACGACCUGAGGGUGAAAGCGGGGGAUCGCAAGACCUCGCGCGAUUGGAGCGGCCGAUAUCAGAUUAGGUAGUUGGUGAGGUAAAGGCUCACCAAGCCGACGAUCUGUAGCUGGUCUGAGAGGACGACCAGCCACACUGGGACUGAGACACGGCCCAGACUCCUACGGGAGGCAGCAGUGGGGAAUUUUGGACAAUGGGCGCAAGCCUGAUCCAGCCAUGCCGCGUGCGGGAAGAAGGCCUUCGGGUUGUAAACCGCUUUUGUCAGGGAAGAAAAGGUUCUGGCUAAUACCUGGGACUCAUGACGGUACCUGAAGAAUAAGCACCGGCUAACUACGUGCCAGCCGCCGCCGUAA